rnacentral:hammerhead_ribozyme from 1 species
AUCCAGAUGACGAGUCCCAAAUAGGAUGAAACGCGCUUCCUGGAU